AUGAGGCGGGGCGGAGCAGUUGUGAUGUCGUUGAUCUCGGAUAACCGUCGGUGCUUCUGCGCAAAGGAGGGCUUCGCGUCAGUGAGUGAAUUUGGCCGACACAGAUGUGGUAGUGAGGGCUGGAUGAUCGGAUCCGAGAAUGGAAGUGCGGUGUCAGAGGAAGUCUCGGUGGGUCGCGGUGUUCAACGCCAGAAGUUGUGGGGAUUUUGCGAAUUUCUGCUUCUUCUUCUAUUCUUGUAUUUCUUUUACUUGGACAACGUUAGGAGAGAACGUGUCGGAAAUCGAACUAUCAUGAUGAAGGGCGGGAGUCUGAACAAUGAUGAAUGGUGUUGGACGGAACAUGGAUGA